UACGUAGGGUGCUAGCGUUAAUCGGAAUUACUGGGCGUAAAGCGUGCGCAGGCGGUUAUGUAAGACAGUUGUGAAAUCCCCGGGCUCAACCUGGGAACUGCAUCUGUGACUGCAUAGCUAGAGUACGGUAGAGGGGGAUGGAAUUCCGCGUGUAGCAGUGAAAUGCGUAGAUAUGCGGAGGAACACCGAUGGCGAAGGCAAUCCCCUGGACCUGUACUGACGCUCAUGCACGAAAGCGUGGGGAGCAAACAGG
rnacentral:rRNA from 1 species